UACGUAGGGUGCAAGCGUUGUCCGGAAUUAUUGGGCGUAAAGAGCUCGUAGGCGGUCUGUCGCGUCGGCUGUGAAAACCCGAGGCUCAACCUCGGGCCUGCAGUCGAUACGGGCAAACUAGAGUACUGCAGGGAGACUGGAAUCCUGGUGUAGCGGUGAAAUGCGCAGAUAUCAGGAGGAACACUGGUGGCGAAGGCGGGUCUCUGGGCGAGUGAACUGACGCUGGAGGAAGCGAAAGGCGUGGGGAGCGAACAGGG
rnacentral:rRNA from 1 species